rnacentral:rRNA from 1 species
GAUGAACGCUAGCGGCAGGCCUAAUACAUGCAAGUCGGACGGGAUUGAGGAGCUUGCUUCUCAUGAGAGUGGCGCACGGGUGCGUAACACGUAUGUAACCUAACUUGUUCAGGGGGAUAGCCUCUCGAAAGAGAGAUUAAGACCGCAUAACGUAGUGAUGUGGCAUCAUAUUACUACCAAAUAUUUAUAGGAACAAGAUGGGCAUGCGGAACAUUAGCUAGUUGGUAAGGUAACGGCUUACCAAGGCUACGAUGUUUAGGGGAUCUGAGAGGAUUACCCCCCACACUGGUACUGAGACACGGACCAGACUCCUACGGGAGGCAGCAGUAAGGAAUAUUGGUCAAUGGACGGAAGUCUGAACCAGCCAUGCCGCGUGCAGGAAGACGGCCCUACGGGUUGUAAACUGCUUUUAUACGGGAAUAAACCUACUUACGUGUAAGUAGCUGAAUGUACCGUAAGAAUAAGGAUCGGCUAACUCCGUGCCAGCCGCCGCAGUAAGAC